UCCAUCACUGUCUGCAUCUGUAGGAGACACAGUCUCCAUCACUUGCCAGGCCAGUCAGGGCAUUAGCAACUAUUUACAUUGGUAUCAACAAAAACCAGGGAAAGCCCCUCAGUUCCUCAUCUAUAGAGCAACAAGUGUGCAACCUGGGGUUCCAUCGAGGUUCAGUGGCAGUGGAUCUGGGACAGAGUUCACUCUCACCAUCAGCAGCCUGCAGCCUGAAGAUGUUGCCACUUAUUACUGUAUGGAGCAUAAUUA